rnacentral:rRNA from 1 species
GACGAACGCUGGAGGCGUGCUUAACACAUGCAAGUCGAACGAUGAAAUGGAGCUUGCUCCAUGGAUUAGUGGCGAAUGGGUGAGUAACACGUGAAUAACCUGCCCUUAAUUUUGGAAUAACCCAGGGAAACCUGGGCUAAUACCGGAUAAGUAAACCUGUGGCAUCACAUGGUUUUGGAAAGUUUUUCGAUUAAGGAUGGAUUCGCGGCCUAUCAGCUUGUUGGUGAGGUAAUGGCUCACCAAGGCGGCGACGGGUAGCCGGCCUGAGAGGGUGAACGGCCACACGGGGACUGAGACACGGCCCAGACUCCUACGGGAGGCAGCAGUGGGGAAUAUUGCGCAAUGGACGAAAGUCUGACGCAGCGACGCCUCGUGAGGGACGAAGGUCUUCGGAUUGUAAACCUCUUUCAGCAGGGACGAAGCGAAAGUGACGGUACCUGCAGAAGAAGCACCGGCUAACUAUGUGCCAGCCGCCGCAGUAA